GAGUUUGAUCCUGGCUCAGAUUGAACGCUGGCGGCAGGCCUAACACAUGCAAGUCGAGCGGUAGAGAGGAGCUUGCUUCUCUUGAGAGCGGCGGACGGGUGAGUAAUGCCUAGGAAUCUGCCUACGGGUGGGGGAUAACGUUCGGAAACGGACGCUAAUACCGCAUACGUCCUACGGGAGAAAGCGGGGGAUCUUCGGACCUCGCGCCAUUAGAUGAGCCUAGGUCGGAUUAGCUAGUUGGUGAGGUAAUGGCUCACCAAGGCGACGAUCCGUAACUGGUCUGAGAGGAUGAUCAGUCACACUGGAACUGAGACACGGUCCAGACUCCUACGGGAGGCAGCAGUGGGGAAUAUUGGACAAUGGGCGAAAGCCUGAUCCAGCCAUGCCGCGUGUGUGAAGAAGGUCUUCGGAUUGUAAAGCACUUUAAGUUGGGAGGAAGGGUCGUAACCUAAUACGUUACGGCUUUGACGUUACCGACAGAAUAAGCACCGGCUAACUUCGUGCCAGCAGCCGCGGUAAUACGAAGGGUGCAAGCGUUAAUCGGAAUUACUGGGCGUAAAGCGCGCGUAGGUGGUUCAGCAAGUUGGAUGUGAAAGCCCUGGGCUCAACCUGGGAACUGCAUCCAAAACUACUGAGCUAGAGUACGGUAGAGGGUAGUGGAAUUUCCUGUGUAGCGGUGAAAUGCGUAGAUAUAGGAAGGAACACCAGUGGCGAAGGCGACUACCUGGACUGAUACUGACACUGAGGUGCGAAAGCGUGGGGAGCAAACAGGAUUAGAUACCCUGGUAGUC
rnacentral:rRNA from 1 species